rnacentral:rRNA from 1 species
GUAAUCCACCUGGGGAGUACGGCCGCAAGGCUAAAACUCAAAGGAAUUGACGGGGGCCCGCACAAGCAGUGGAGUAUGUGGUUUAAUUCGAGGCAACGCGAAGAACCUUACCAGGGUUUGACAUCCCGCGCCAUAGGUAGAGAUACUUAGUUCCCUUCGGGGACGCGGAGACAGGUGGUGCAUGGUUGUCGUCAGCUCGUGUCGUGAGAUGUUCGGUUAAGUCCGGCAACGAGCGCAACCCUCGUGGCCAGUUGCCAUCAUUUAGUUGGGCACUUUGGCCAGACUGCCGUUGACAAAACGGAGGAAGGUGGGGAUGACGUCAAAUCAUCAUGCCCCUUAUAUCCUGGGCUACACACGUACUACAAUGGGCGUUACAACGGGCAGCCACACCGCGAGGUGGAGCGAAUCCCCAAAGGCGUCCUCAGUUCGGAUUGCAGGCUGCAACUCGCCUGCAUGAAGCCGGAAUUGCUAGUAAUGGCAGGUCAGCAUACUGCCGUGAAUACGUUCCCGGGCCUUGUACACACCGCCCGUCACACCAUGAGAGUCUGUAACACCUGAAGUCGGUAGUCUAACCUGCAAAGGAGGACGCCGCCGAAGGUGGGACAGAUAAUUGGGGUGAAGUCGU